rnacentral:rRNA from 1 species
AUUGAACGCUGGCGGCGUGCUUAACACAUGCAAGUCGAGCGGUAACAGGUGUAGUAAUACAUGCUGACGAGCGGCGAACGGGUGAGUAAUGCUUCGGAAUCUUCCUCGUAGUGGGGAAUAACCUGGGGAAACUCAGGCUAAUACCGCAUACGAACUACGGUUGAAAGCAGGGGAUCGCAAGACCUUGCGCUAUGAGAUGAGCCGAAGUCGGAUUAGCUAGUUGGUAGGGUAACGGCCUACCAAGGCGACGAUCCGUAGCUGGUCUGAGAGGACGACCAGCCACACUGGGAGUGAGACACGGCCCAGACUCCUACGGGAGGCAGCAGUGGGGAAUAUUGGACAAUGGGGGCAACCCCGAUCCAGCGACGCCGCGUGUGUGAAGAAGGCCUGCGGGUUGUAAAGCACUUUUAGUGGGGAUGAAAGGCCAAGGGCUAAUACCCUUUGGUCUUGACCUAACCCAAAGAAAAAGCACCGGCUAACUCUGUGCCAGCCGCCGCCGUAA